GUUUCUAUCUACGUUUACAUCUCUCUUAGUACGAAAGGACCAGAGAGAACAUGCCUCUGCCUUAAGGAGUAAGCAUUGUAGUUAUAAAAC
rnacentral:rRNA from 1 species